UGCUCCUUGUUUCUUUUCAGACCACAGAGCUGCGUUGCUCUUAAUCUUUAUUUUUCAGAUAGGGAAAAGUGAGGUACAUAUCCGGAAGUGAGCAGCAAACUGCACACAAUGCACACACGCUAAGAACAAUUUAGAGUUGCCAAUAAACCUACUGCAUGUCUUUGGACCCAGAGUACCUUGAAAAAACACAGGAACACUGGAAGGACAUGAGGACACCCUACAGAAGGCACUUCAUCUGAGAAAUGAACCAGGGAACCUAUUGCUCACAGUGAGUGGAAUAGUGGACAAUGGAUGACCUAGGACUCAAGCCUGCUUUUUUGUACCUGGAGCCUGAGCACAGGACUGAAAUGAACAGAACUGGAAGAACUUUAAGAAGACCAACUGGACAAGGCAGGAGUAAAGGUCUGAGAGUAUCUGAGACGAUGAAAAAAAUGAAUGAGGCCAAAAACAUAGUGACUGAUUUUAAAUAGUGCUCUUCUAACUGAGAAAAGUACUAGAGUAACAGAUCUGGAUAGGUUUUGUGUUAGCAUGCAUUUUCUGGAGGAGGAGGUCUGAAACUGUAAUAUCUGUCAU